CCUUGCUUAAUUAGGCGAUUAAAUAAUGAAUAUUCAUGUGGAGUGAAGUAACACAAAGUUAGAAUUCAUCAUAAAUUAAUUUUUACUUUAAUGUUAAAAGUUAGUCAAAUUGUUACUAGAUGGCGUUAAUGCGGUGGAUAAAAUCUUCUUUACCAUCAACACGCCGCCAUUUGCAUGAUUUGCGUAUUUACGACUUUUUUAUGAAAUUAUUUAUCAGAAUAUCGGUUAACAUAUGUGAUUUAUUAAAAGACCCGCAGAAACCUUCCUUUAAUCAUUUCUGUUUGUUUUGCCUUUGACGAUGUAACCUUGCUUAAUUAGGCGAUUAAAGAAUGAAUAAUCAUGUGGAGUGAAGUAACACAAAGUUAGAAUUCAUCAUAAAUUAGUUUUUAUUUUAAUGUUAAAAGUUAGUCAAAUUGUUACUAGAUGGCGUUAAUGCGGUGGAUAAAAUCUACUUUACCAUCAACACGCCGCCAUUUGCAUGAUUUGCGUAUUUACGGCUUGUUUAUGAAAUUAUUUAUCAGAGUAUCGCUUAACAUGUAUGAUUUAUUAAAAGACCCGCAGAAACCUUCCUUUAAUCAUUUCUGUUUGUUUUGCCCUUGAAGAUGUAACCUUGCUUAAUUAGGCGAUUAAAGAAUGAAUAUUCAUGUGGAGUGAUGUAACACAGCUAGAAUUCCUCUUUAAGGUUAUUUUUUUUUAUUUUUCUUUACUUUAUUAAAGAAAUUGAUUAAAUGAUUAAUCCUAAGGGUGGGUUAUUUCCGUUGAUAAAAGUGAAACAUCGCAACGAAAUAUACAUUAAUUUCUUUA